CGCUUUUAAUCACGUGACUUUGUAUAAAAGGGGAACACGUGAGCUCUCCUCCAUCGUGUUACUUUCUUUCUGAAGGUGAAAUCUCCUGCUAUCGUAAGCCGCCGGCCUCUACUCAACCAGAAGAUGUCAACCGUGUCUGCUGCCAGCUUGGAGGCUCCUGCUGUGACUGAGGCCGCUGAGCAGAAGAAGCCACUGAAGGCGUGCUGCGCUUGUCCGGAGACUAAGAAAGUCAGAGAUGCUUGCAUCAUUGAGAAGGGAGCGGAAAGCUGCACAGACCUGAUCGACGCACACAAAGAUUGCAUGAGGGCGCUUGGCUUCAAGAUUUAACUACUCUAUUUUGUGUGUG